GGCACCAGGCAGGUGCGUAGGGGUGGAAGAGCUCAGAGAGGUAAGGUGGAGUGAGGCCAUUUACAGAUUUGAAAACAAAUAAUAGGAUC